UACGUAGGGAGCAAGCGUUGUCCGGAAUCAUUGGGCGUAAAGCGCGCGUAGGCGGCCCCGUAAGUCCGCUGUGAAAGUCAAAGGCUCAACCUUUGAAAGCCGGUGGAUACUGUGGGGCUAGAGUCCGGAAGAGGCGAGUGGAAUUCCUGGUGUAGCGGUGGAAUGCGCAGAUAUUAGGAAGAACACCAGUGGCGAAGGCGGCUCACUGGCCCGGUACUGACGCUGAGGCGCGAAAGCGUGGGGAGCAAACAGG
rnacentral:rRNA from 1 species